rnacentral:rRNA from 1 species
CUCCCAAACCCCUGUGAACAUACCAAUUGUUGCCUCGGCGGAUCAGCCCGCUCCCGGUAAAACGGGACGGCCCGCCAGAGGACCCCUAAACUCUGUUUCUAUAUGUAACUUCUGAGUAAAACCAUAAAUAAAUCAAAACUUUCAACAACGGAUCUCUUGGUUCUGGCAUCGAUGAAGAACGCAGCAAAAUGCGAUAAGUAAUGUGAAUUGCAGAAUUCAGUGAAUCAUCGAAUCUUUGAACGCACAUUGCGCCCGCCAGUAUUCUGGCGGGCAUGCCUGUUCGAGCGUCAUUUCAACCCUCAAGCCCAGCUUGGUGUUGGGACUCGCGAGUCAAAUCGCGUUCCCCAAAUUGAUUGGCGGUCACGUCGAGCUUCCAUAGCGUAGUAGUAAAACCCUCGUUACUGGUAAUCGUCGCGGCCACGCCGUUAAACCCCAACUUCUGAAUGUUGACCUCGGAUCAGGUAGGAAUACCCGCUGAACUUAAGCAUAUC